rnacentral:rRNA from 1 species
AGGCUUAACACAUGCAAGUCGAGGGGCAGCAUGGUCUUAGCUUGCUAAGGCCGAUGGCGACCGGCGCACGGGUGAGUAACGCGUAUCCAACCUGCCUUACACUCUUGGACAGCCUUCUGAAAGGGAGAUUAAUACAAGAUGUUAUCAUGAGUAAGCAUUUUCACAUGAUUAAAGGUUUACCGGUGUAAGAUGGGGAUGCGUUCCAUUAGAUAGUAGGCGGGGUAACGGCCCACCUAGUCUUCGACGGAUAGGGGUUCUGAGAGGAAGGUCCCCCACAUUGGAACUGAGACACGGUCCAAACUCCUACGGGAGGCAGCAGUGAGGAAUAUUGGUCAAUGGACGAGAGUCUGAACCAGCCAAGUAGCGUGAAGGAUGAAGGUUCUAUGGAUUGUAAACUUCUUUUAUACGGGAAUAAACGGAUCCACGUGUGGAUUUUUGCAUGUACCGUAUGAAUAAGGAUCGGCUAACUCCGUGCCAGCAGCCGCGGUAAUACGGAGGAUCCGAGCGUUAUCCGGAUUUAUUGGGUUUAAAGGGAGCGUAGAUGGGUUGUUAAGUCAGUUGUGAAAGUUUGCGGCUCAACCGUAAAAUUGCAAUUGAUACUGGCAGUCUUGAGUACAGUUGAGGUAGGCGGAAUUCGUGGUGUAGCGGUGAAAUGCUUAGAUAUCACGAAGAACUCCGAUUGCGAAGGCAGCUUACUAACCUGUAACUGACAUUGAUGCUCGAAAGUGUGGGUAUCAAACAGGAUUAGAUACCCUGGUAGUCCACACGGUAAACGAUGAAUACUCGCUGUAGGCGAUAUACAGUCUGCGGCCAAGCGAAAGCAUUAAGUAUUCCACCUGGGGAGUACGCCGGCAACGGUGAAACUCAAAGGAAUUGACGGGGGCCCGCACAAGCGGAGGAACAUGUGGUUUAAUUCGAUGAUACGCGAGGAACCUUACCCGGGCUUAAAUUGCAACCGAAUAUGGCGGAAACGCUAUAGCUAGCAAUAGCGGUUGUGAAGGUGCUGCAUGGUUGUCGUCAGCUCGUGCCGUGAGGUGUCGGCUUAAGUGCCAUAACGAGCGCAACCCUUGCCGAUAGUUACUAACAGGUCAUGCUGAGGACUCUGUCGGGACUGCCAUCGUAAGAUGUGAGGAAGGUGGGGAUGACGUCAAAUCAGCACGGCCCUUACGUCCGGGGCUACACACGUGUUACAAUGGGGGGUACAGAGGGCUGCUACCACGCAAGUGGAUGCCAAUCCCAAAAACCUCUCUCAGUUCGGAUUGAAGUCCGCAACCCGACUUCAUGAAGCUGGAUUCGCUAGUAAUCGCGCAUCAGCCACGGCGCGGUGAAUACGUUCCCGGGCCUUGUACACACCGCCCGUCAAGCCAUGGGAGCCGGGGGUACCUGAAGUGCGUAACCGCAAGGAGCGCCCUAGGGUAAAACUGGUGACUGGGGCUAAGUCGUA